rnacentral:rRNA from 1 species
AACGCUAGCUACAGGCUUAACACAUGCAAGUCGAGGGGCAGCAUAGAAGUAGCAAUACUUUGGUGGCGACCGGCGCACGGGUGAGUAACGCGUAUGCAACCUACCUAUCAGAGGGGAAUAACCCGGCGAAAGUCGGCCUAAUACCGCAUAAAACAGGGGCACCGCAUGGUGCUAUUUGUUAAAGAUUUAUUGCUGAUAGAUGGGCAUGCGUUCCAUUAGGUAGUUGGUGAGGUAACGGCUCACCAAGCCGACGAUGGAUAGGGGAACUGAGAGGUUGGUCCCCCACACUGGUACUGAGACACGGACCAGACUCCUACGGGAGGCAGCAGUGAGGAAUAUUGGUCAAUGGGCGAGAGCCUGAACCAGCCAAGUCGCGUGAAGGAAGAAGGAUCUAUGGUUCGUAAACUUCUUUUGCAGGGGAGUAAAGUGGAGGACGUGUCCUCUUUUGUAUGUACCCUGAGAAUAAGGAUCGGCUAACUCCGUGCCAGCAGCCGCGGUAAUACGGAGGAUCCGAGCGUUAUCCGGAUUUAUUGGGUUUAAAGGGUGCGUAGGUGGUUUGAUAAGUCAGCGGUGAAAGUUUGCAGCUUAACUGUAAAAAUGCCGUUGAAACUGUCGGACUUGAGUGUAAAUGAGGUAGGCGGAAUGCGUGGUGUAGCGGUGAAAUGCUUAGAUAUCACGAAGAACUCCGAUUG